GCGAGGCCUUAAAGGAGCCGCGACCCGGUUUUGUCUGAGGGGAUGUUGUGGUUUAACCCGCCCGGAGGGGCGAACAGUCAGUGACACCCCCGAGAUCAUCGACAGCAACCAAACACCACCGCCUCAGUCUUUCCUUAAACACCCGCAAGGACUGGGCAGCCCGUUCCAAGCGUUCUGUGAAGAAAUUCCUCCUAAUGCCCAACCUAAACCUCCCACCUUCAAACUGCCUUCUGGUCCCGCGGCUGUUCGCGGGGCAGCAGAGCCCGGUCCCUCCCGGCCUGCAGCUCCCGGCGGGGAAUGCAGAGAUCCGGGAGGUUCCCCUGAGCCUCUCGGAGCCCCUCAGCCGCUCCUCAGCCGCAGCUCUCCGGCUCAAACCCUUCCCCAGCUCCGGAUCUCCGCGCAGCCCCCGGCACCGCGGGGCCCUUCUUGUCGUGAGGGGCCCGAGCGGGGCGCUGCGGCACCGCCACAGAAGUGUCCGAGCAGCCCGGGGCAUUUCUGCCGGUGUAAAGCCACACGCGGGGGGACCACUGGAGGCUCCUGCAGGAGCGGCUGCCCGGUGCGGGAUGUCCCCGUGUCCCCGUGUCCCCGCCGGGGCUGCCCUGGGCGCAGCCCCCAGCAGGUGGCAAUGCAGGAACACCUGGAGCCCGUCCAGCCGGGAAAGGCUGGGGCUGAGACCGCUGUUCCUGGGGGAAAGGCUCGCCUUGGAAAUCCUGCUCGAUGUUUGCAGCAUCAGCUACGAAUCGUUUACAAGAUGUGCUUGAACCAAACAGCCCUGGAUUGUAAAUGAUUUGAGACUCGACAUCCAAAAUCAGGACACUGGAGAUCUGUUGCCACUGGCUCUUUUGGAAGGCAUUACAUUACGAAGAAGACUUUUUUCAUAAAACAGAGAUGGCAGGACAUGAAAAUCCUGGUGACUCAGACAGUAACUAUUCAAACAGGACCUGGCGACUCGUGGAGUUAUUAGUGGAUGCUGGAGAGGGGACAGCACAGAGAGGGAGAAUGUUUUGCAGGUAGAGCAUAAUAAAAAGGAUAUGAUGUCUCUUUGAAGCAUCCUUGAUUUAAAAGUGACUACUGGAAGUUCUCAAGAAUGUUCCAAAUUUCAGGACUCAAUUACCUAAGGACAAAGAAGGGUUAUAGGAAGGUUCCUCUAAUGGUGGGAGCAGCCCCUCUAACUGCUUGGAGCAGAUGAAGCUGUUAGUUGGCAUUUUUAAUCUUUGGUAUUUUAACAGAACUGAUCCAUACUGGUGUAAAUAAUGGGAUUUGCACAAAGUUUUAGAACAUUCCAGAAGCUUGUUCUAUGAGACUUUAUAUUUUUGUCGAUAUUUUCUAGUACCUCUUCACCUGAGCAAGAUCUUCACCAAUACCUUGAGGUGUUAUUUCCAAAUAGCCAUCCAAAAUUUCAGUGUUAGGUUCUCUGGCCCAAAGAUUCUUGGCUUCUUUGGCCAGGACAAAAUUGACACCAGCACUCUGAGUUCUUUUCAUGGUGUUCCUGGAAAUACAAGAUGUGGAGGGAAAGAAUUAAGCCAAACACUUCAUUCAGAUAAAAAUUUACUCCAGCAUCUCACGUCCUUAAAUGCAAAGAUCACAGGUGAUGUUAUUUAUGGCUUCCCAGUACAAAGAAAGCAGUCAUUAUCCUUUGCUAAUUGGUUUAGAAUAAGGGAGGUAUUUCUGGAUGUGGCAGCUGCUAAUCUUACUUCAGUGAGGAAUUCUUAAUUUUACCUCCUCAGAAGAAGGUUCCAGAGACACGGGGAGUAUGUUUUGUCCAAGGGUAGGAUAAUUUUUAUCUUAACAGGGUAGGUGAUAUUCUUUCCAAUUAUUAUAAAAAUUAGGUGUGUCAAAGAAGAGCUGUUACUCACUGAAAGAGCAAACCAGCAAUUCAGUGCCUUUCUCUGUACCUGGCAGCUAAACUGAAUCAUUAGCUGUCCUUUAACACCAGCACCCUGUUUAUUUACUGUUUUUUGAAGUAGGAUAAUGCAGCAGUGAAGUCAGAUAGCUGGCACUGGAUGUGACAGUGACAUUCAAAGAAAACAGAUGCCACAAAGCCUGGAUCAUCAGAGGGGCUGUUCCUCCUGGAGCUGGCCGUGGCUCAGCUCCCACACACAAAGGUUGGCAGCACAGCUGCUCCAGGCACCUUCUGUACCCAGAGGAGGGACAAGUUCAAAUGCCCUGAGGACAAGUUCAAAGGCUGCCUGUUGGGUUUCUGCUGUCCCAGAGCAGUUCUGCCAGCAGGGCACAGAGCUGUUCCAGUGGGGGCGUUCACUGGGCAUUACAGCACGAUGCCAGGAUGAUGCCCUGCCUGGCAGGAAUUCAUGCAAGGUUUUCCUAAUGACUGUAUCCAGGGCAACUUAAGCUUCUCUAAGAUAAAUUUCCCCCUGACCCUUCCAGUCUCUAAUAAAAUAUUUCUCUGGUUUGCAUCCCUAAAGUUGCUACUUGAAAGAGGAGAUAUCUCCAUAAAGGGCACGCAUGGGCACCCUGAAGAACUUUCCAUAGCUCUGCUCCUGGCUCAUCUGAGCAAUUUGUCUUGCUGUGGUUUGCAAAGAAAGAAAAGAAAAUUGUCCAUUGGUUUAUUAUCUGUUUAUUUUCUUUUGGGGAAUUUGUCUAUAAUCUCCAUCUCCAUCUCCAUGGGUGGGGAACAAAAUAUUUAAGUUAGUUAAAGAUCUUUUGUCCUGAAGUGAAUAGACCUUAUAAUCAUUUUCUCCUCAUUCUUCCUUCUGGCUCUGUCAGGAAAAAGUCCUGGCUGGGAAUGCAGAUAUGUCCCUGGGAAAAUUUGCUCCUUUGCUCUGCGGAGUAUUUCCUUAAAUGCACAACAUAAAAUUUUAUCUUAUGGGGAUAGGAAAUAGUGUCAAAGGAGUAGGUACAGAUGUUAUCCCCCACUUAACCAGCUUUAGUUUUCCAUUUUCUUUUGGGAAACUGAACAACUCAAUGAUUUCCCCACUCCAGCUGCAGUGUAAGAGACAUGACCUGAGCACCCAGGAGUGUCCCAGCUGCCAGCACAGCAGCACCAGACCCCUCUGCAGCCCCAACACCAGAGGGAUCUGAGCCUGCUGGAGCGAGUCCAGAGGGGGCCACAAAGGUGAUCAGAGGGCUGGAGCCCCUCUGCUGUGGGGACAGGCUGAGACAGAUGGGGGUGUUCAGCUUGCAGAAGGCUUUGGGGAGACCUUCCAGCACCUUCUAGACUCUAAAGGGGUUACAAGGACUUUUGACGAGGCCAUGGAGUGACAGGA